UGGCGAACGGGUGAGUAACACGUGAGUAACCUGCCCUCUUCUUUGGGAUAACGCCCGGAAACGGGUGCUAAUACUGGAUAUUCACUUGCCUUCGCAUGGGGGUGGGUGGAAAGGGUUUUUUCUGGUGGGGGAUGGGCUCGCGGCCUAUCAGCUUGUUGGUGGGGUGAUGGCUUACCAAGGCUUUGACGGGUAGCCGGCCUGAGAGGGUGACCGGUCACAUUGGGACUGAGAUACGGCCCAG
rnacentral:rRNA from 1 species